GAUGAACGCUGGCGGCGUGCCUAAUACAUGCAAGUCGAGCGAACAGACGAGGAGCUUGCUCCUCUGACGUUAGCGGCGGACGGGUGAGUAACACGUGGAUAACCUACCUAUAAGACUGGGAUAACUUCGGGAAACCGGAGCUAAUACCGGAUAAUAUAUUGAACCGCGUGGUUCAAUAGUGAAAGACGGUUUUGCUGUCACUUAUAGAUGGAUCCGCGCCGCAUUAGCUAGUUGGUAAGGUAACGGCUUACCAAGGCAACGAUGCGUAGCCGACCUGAGAGGGUGAUCGGCCACACUGGAACUGAGACACGGUCCAGACUCCUACGGGAGGCCGCAGUAGGGAAUCUUCCGCAAUAGGCGAAAGCCUGACGGAGCAACGCCGCGUGAGUGAUGAAGGUCUUCGGAUCGUAAAACUCUGUUAUUAGGGAAGAACAAAUGUGUAAGUAACUAUGCACGUCUUGACGGUACCUAAUCAGAAAGCCACGGCUAACUACGUG
rnacentral:rRNA from 1 species